GCGGAUCCGCGGCCGCUGCAGAUCUGGUUGAUUCUGCCAGAGGUUACUGCUAUCGAGGUUCGACUAAGCCAUGCGAGUCGAAUGUAGCAAUACAUGGCGAACUGCUCAGUAACACGUGGACAACCUGCCCUUAGGACGGGGAUAAACCCGGGAAACUGGGUAUAAUACCCGAUAGGUCUCGAUUGCUGGAAUGCAUCGAGAUUUAAAGCUCCGGCGCCUAAGGAUGGGUCUGCGGCCUAUCAGGUAGUAGUGGGUGUAGCGUACCUACUAGCCUACGACGGGUACGGGUUGUGAGAGCAAGAGCCCGGAGAUGGAUUCUGAGACACGAAUCCAGGCCCUACGGGGUGCAGCAGGCGCGAAAACUUUACAAUGCUGGCAACAGCGAUAAGGGAACCUCGAGUGCCAGGUUACAAAUCUGGCUGUCGAGAUGCCUAAAAAGCAUUUCAUAGCAAGGGCCGGGCAAGACCGGUGCCAGCCGCCGCGGUAACACCGGCGGCUCGAGUGGUAACCGUUAUUAUUGGGUCUAAAGGGUCUGUAGCCGGCCGGAUAAGUCUCUUGAGAAAUCUGGCAGCUUAACUGUCAGGCUUUCAGGAGAUACUGUCUGGCUCGAGGCCGGGAGAGGUGAGAGGUACUUCAGGGGUAGGGGUGAAAUCUUGUAAUCCUUGAAGGACCACCAGUGGCGAAGGCGUCUCACCAGAACGGACCUGACGGCAAGGGACGAAAGCUAGGGGCACGAACCGGAUUAGAUACCCGGGUAGUCCUAGCCGUAAACGAUACUCGCUAGGUGUCGGCCACGGUGCGACCGUUGUCGGUGCCGUAGGGAAGCCGUGAAGCGAGCCACCUGGGAAGUACGGCCGCAAGGCUGAAACUUAAAGGAAUUGGCGGGGGAGCACCACAACGGGUGGAGCUUGCGGUUUAAUUGGAUUCAACGCCGGAAAUCUUACCGGGACCGACAGCAAUAUGAAGGCCAGGCUGAAGACUUGGG
rnacentral:rRNA from 1 species